rnacentral:rRNA from 1 species
GACAGAGGGUGCAAACGUUGCUCGGAAUUACUGGGCGUAAAGCGCGUGUAGGCGGACUGGUAAGUCGGACGUGAAAUCCCUGAGCUCAACUCAGGUACUGCAUCCGAAACUAUCAGUCUGGAGUGGUGGAGAGGGAAGCAGAAUUCCUGGUGUAGAGGUGAAAUUCGUAGAUAUCAGGAGGAACACCGGUGGCGAAGGCGGCUUCCUGGACACUAACUGACGCUGAGACGCGAAAGCGUGGGGAGCAAACAGG